rnacentral:rRNA from 1 species
GUCGCGUUGUUCGUGAAAUCUCACGGCUUAACUGUGAGCGUGCGGGCGAUACGGGCAGACUUGAGUACUGCAGGGGAGACUGGAGUUCCUGGUGUAGCGGUGGAAUGCGCAGAUAUCAGGAGGAACACCGGUGGCGAAGGCGGGUCUCUGGGCAGUAACUGACGCUGAGGAGCGAAAGCGUGGGGAGCGAACAGGAUUAGAUACCCUGGUAGUCCACGCCGUAAACGGUGGGUACUAGGUGUGGGUUUCCUUCCUUGGGAUCCGUGCCGUAGCUAACGCAUUAAGUACCCCGCCUGGGGAGUACGGCCGCAAGGCUAAAACUCAAAGAAAUUGACAGGGGCCCGCACAAGCGGCGGAGCAUGUGGAUUGAUUCGAUGCAACGCGAAGAACCUUACCUGGGUUUGACAUGCACAGGACGCCGGCAGAGAUGUCGGUUCCCUUGUGGCCUGUGUGCAGGUGGUGCAUGGCUGUCGUCAGCUCGUGUCGUGAGAUGUUGGGUUAAGUCCCGCAACGAGCGCAACCCUUGUCUCAUGUUGCCAGCGGGUAAUGCCGGGGACUCGUGAGAGACUGCCGGGGUCAACUCGGAGGAAGGUGGGGAUGACGUCAAGUCAUCAUGCCCCUUAUGUCCAGGGCUUCACACAUGCUACAAUGGCCGGUACAAAGGGCUGCGAUGCCGCGAGGUUAAGCGAAUCCUUUUAAAGCCGGUCUCAGUUCGGAUCGGGGUCUGCAACUCGACCCCGUGAA